rnacentral:tmRNA from 1 species
GGGGCUGUUUUGGAUUUGACGAAAUUUAUAAAACUUAAGGUGCAUAUCGAGGAAGGUUGCCUCGUUAAAAACCUAAAAAAUAUAAAUGAAAAAAAUAAUAGCUAUGCUUUAGCAGCUUAAAAUAUUCAUAUAAUUUUUUUUGAUUUUGUUCUCUUACAAAACAAAAAUAUUUUUUUAUAAGAGAUCACAUUUUAUUAAUUUCCUAAUGAUAAAUUGUUAAAUAUUAUAGGAUAUUUCUAUUAAUAACGAGUUAGUUCCGUUAUAAUUUAGAAAAAAAAAUAAAGACUAACUAAAUAUGUAGUACCUUAGUGUAAUAUAUUUCGGACGCGGGUUCGAAUCCCGCCAGCUCCA